GAUGAACGCUGGCGGCGUGCUUAACACAUGCAAGUCGAACGAAGCGCCUUAUUUGAUUUUCUUCGGAACUGAAGAUUUGGUGACUGAGUGGCGGACGGGUGAGUAACGCGUGGGUAACCUACCCUGUACAGGGGGAUAACAAUCAGAAAUGACUGCUAAUACCGCAUAAGACCACAGCACCGCAUGGUGCAGGGGUAAAAACUCCGGUGGUACAGGAUGGACCCGCGUCUGAUUAGCUGGUUGGUGAGGUAACGGCUCACCAAGGCGACGAUCAGUAGCCGGCUUGAGAGAGUGAACGGCCACAUUGGGACUGAGACACGGCCCAAACUCCUACGGGAGGCAGCAGUGGGGAAUAUUGCACAAUGGGGGGAACCCUGAUGCAGCGACGCCGCGUGAGUGAAGAAGUAUUUCGGUAUGUAAAGCUCUAUCAGCAGGGAAGAAAAUGACGGUACCUGACUAAGAAGC
rnacentral:rRNA from 1 species